rnacentral:pre_miRNA from 1 species
AAAAAAAAAAAACCCGGGUUUCCGUGUCCAACGUUUGACCGUCCGUUUAAUUUUUAAAAAUUAUGAAAAAAAAAUAAAAAGACAAAUCACGCAUAAAGUAUUAAUCAUGUUUUAUCAUCUAACCACAAUAAAAAUACUAAUUAUAAAAAAAUUCAUAUAAGACGGACAAUCAAACAUUGGACACGGAAAUCUAGGGUUUGUCUUUUU